AUGCUCCCAAAGGUUGACAGGGAAAGGGUGGCCAACUUCAUGUGCCACAACAUCCAGACGGCAGACAAAUAUUAUGCCAUGAAUUUAAAUCCAACCCAAGCAAAUGAAACCAGGGCACUCUUUGAGGCUGCACUGAAGGGGGAAGAUAACACAGUCGCCGCAGAGAACCAGCCCUCCACCUCAGGAGAAAGAAAGCAGAAGGUGAGAGAGGAUGCCUCCCUCUCCGACGGGAGCACCACCCCUGAAGAGACCAAGGUGAUGUACCAGGAGUCUGGCACGUCCGCCGGUGACUCGGAAGAGGAGGAAGAGGAUGAAGAUGAGGAACAGAUGGCCAGACAACUUCCAGAGACACCUUCCAAGGUGACCAAUCCUCAGGUGGAGAUGGAACUUACCCCAAAGAGGAAGCGGAGCAUCUGCACACGCCGCAUGGAGGUCGCCAUCAGCCCCAUGCUAGUCUCACCCCUCAAAGUGAGGCUCAAGUCGCCCCCCCACCAGUCCCUCAUUGUCACAUUAAAAGGGAUGCAACAACUAAACUCAAAUAAAGUCAGACUAAAAAAUGCCAUUGCCUCAAGGAGGUUAAAGCUGCAGGAGAAGGUGCAAAAGAGAGGAGGGGACCCCUGAUGCAGCUCGAAGGAAGGGGAGCCGACCAACAACAAGACUUCCUCUUCCAAAUAGUCAUGUAGAUUGUUUUAGACUCUCACAUUUAUACUGUUCUGAUUUUGUUUGGUUUGAUUUUCAAUUUUGGUGUGCUUGUUUACAUUUUAGAAGUGUAAAAUGUGUGUAAUUUAGUCUAACUGUCUGUUCAAUUUUCUAUUUUGGUGUGAUUCUUUAUAAUGUAAAGGUUUGUUCUGUUUUAUUAAAUAACUAGUUUAGUAAUUAUUUGUGUUGUGCUUUCUUUAAGGUUAUAUUCUAACUGUCUGUUCAAUUUUCUAUUUUGGUGUGAUUCUUUAUAAUGUAAAGGUUUGUUCUGUUUUAUUAAAUAACUAGUUGAGUAAUUAUUUGUGUUGUGCUUUCUUUAAGGUUUAUAUUUAGUUUGUCACUUAAUUUGUAAGUGUUAAACAUUCACUGUCUUGUGUUGUUGUCUGUGAAGGUAGGAACAAAUAUUUAGGCAUUAUUGGCAUGGGAAUCAUAUGUUUACAUUGGCAAAGCAAAUUAAGUAGAUAAUAAACAAAAGUGAAAUAAACAAUAAAGUCCUGCUGUAGACUGUACUACUGCUGUUCAGGAAGCACAAUUUGAACUAGAAACUUACACAGACAGGCUGAAAUAAACACUAAAAAAUAACAAAUGGCAUCACCGUAAUAUCCCGCUUGACCGUGGCUCGCUCGGUCUGAGCGCAGCGACCAUGAGAAAAGUAAGCCCAAAAUGAAGCCUGCCCCACAACGUCAUUUGCUUUUGGGUGACAGUGAGAGAACCGUUAGGUUUAGAAGGACAAUUCAACCACAGGAAUGUUCCUAACGUCCUUCCGAUCCAUGCAAGCCUUACCUUGACCGUGUGGCAUCAACCCUUAAAAAUAAAACAGGGUUUUUUGAUCUCACAGAUUACAAUGACAUCUCUCCCCAUAGGAAUACAUUGACAGCUCCCCUAAAUUCAACCUGGAGCCUAUGUGGGUUAAUAAUGCCUUAUGAACCUGUCUUCAAUGCCAAUCCAUCAGGCCACUAUGAGGUCUACCUGUGUCGAUUCUAAGCUUCCUGGAGCAACCGGAAGUGGUUAAAUUCACCCAAAAUGUAUUUUGAUGUACAUAACCUGCAAAUGUGAAAAUGACUGCAUUCAACCCUGGGUAGAUCAGUCAAUUCUUAACAUAAAGACUUUAGGAUUCUCAGGAUUCUGUAAGAGAAUACCCAAAGCAAGAUAUUUGUUUACCUAUAGCUUCCUGUGCCAACCGGAAGUGCCUUUAAUUGGUGUCUCAGGGGCUUCUCCUUAGGAGGGAUGGGGACACCACCACGGGACAGACCCCACACUCAUCGCUAGAGAUCGAACUUCAGACUCCCUUCAAAACCACUGAACCCCUCAACACACCGAAAGAGAUUACGGUGCACACCCUUAGAGGGAGCCGGAACAGGAUAACUCCCUCCACCAUCACAGAGACACAGAGGAGGAGGAACUAUCCAACACCCAGGGAGAGAGAACAAGUGACGUCAGUCGAACACAGUCAGAAAGAGGAGGUGGAAGAGGCGUUAGAUAGAGGAGGAUAUUACCCCAGAGGCCAUUCCUCCUGUUCAUGUGAGCAAGAAAGAGCAGAAGGCUUCUGAUCAGCCAAAUGGCAGGCAGAGGGAGAGGUCAUAGUGAUUCACACCCACAGAGAGAAAGACAACCCACACAACCUCUUGGUUGAGAUGAACCACACAGGUAGAGGCAGAGGGCCUUCAGGGCUAGCCAGUCAGCCUGCCUGCUCUGAUCCUCAAGUCAAUUGUAUAUAAAUUCAUGUUCAUUAAAGAUUUUUAUUCAAGAAUUGACAAGUCCCAUUUCGUUAAAGGGGUCACCCUUUUCCUGCUACAAACACAACUUGCAUAUCAUCACAGACUAGGCCAAAACGUUAAUCUUUUAACCUUGCCUGAAUAAAACAAUGCAUUUUUUAUAGUGAGCAAGAGUUGCUCCUUUUCC
ensembl:lncRNA